rnacentral:lncRNA from 1 species
GGAAGAGAAACCACAGCGGAAGCAGGAAGCUAGUUUUUAUUAUUUUUUAGAACCCGUUUGUUCUUGGGUUGGCCGCUGUGUAUCGGGGCUCGGGGUCGGAAUCGAAUUAUAGUGCAAGAGAUCGCAUUUUCGCCUCUCUUGCGGUGACAAGUCUCCGCAGGUGGUGUCCCCGCACCCCAAGAUCCGGAUGCUGCAAACUUUGGCCAUGGGUUCUGUAGCUAAUCUCUUGUGCACUGUGUAAACCUUUCUCCGGUCAAUACAAUGGCCAGUGAGCUUAGGCAGGAAAUUAGAAGGUGUGAUGCCUGGAAAAGAGAGGGGCCGGGGUGGAUGCCGGGAUCGACACCGACGCAAGUUUGGCCCCAGAACGCUGAUGGAGAUAGCAGCAAAAACUGAGAACCAGGACCUGGAGGAUCCUCCGUUCUUCUUCCACCAGAAACAAGACCACCUUCUGAAACUCCUCCAGGAUGCGUUCUCUCCGCUCUUUCACUCUCUCCUGUCGAAAUGGAAUGGGGGAACCCCAAACUGGCUAUGAGAUGGAUUCAGAAAGGAGGGAUUUCCUUCAGGGUUGCCACACAGCAAUUCUGGGACAACCGGUGACCUAGAAUUCUUAGGAAAAGUUGGGGAAGCCAGACUUUUGACCAAGACUCUCCACACCAUCCCUAUUGCACCCUAACAGGCCUUGAGUAAUAACACCCAUACAUUCAAAUGUCCAUGUGUCCUGGUGUCAGUGGGCUUAGAACAUGCAACCUCAAAGAAAGACACAGGCAUGAUUCAUAAAAAAGGACGGGGGACUCCUAAUGACCAGGCUAAAAUGAUUUUGGAGUUACCCAUGUCCCUAAAGCUGUUGUUCAAAAAUAGUAAGAAAUCAAGAGUUUCAAAGACAGCAGACAAACUUCUUAAAUACCUGCCCCCCUCAUGUUUUAUGCACUUGUUUAUCUUUCCUUCCUUCCCUCUGAGAGAGGCUUUUCCCACAUAGCUCUGGGUAUUCUGGGACUGGUUACAUAGUUCAGGUUGACUCUGGACUAACAGGCCUUGCUUUUGCCUCCUUGAGUUCUGGGAUUCCAAAUAAGCACCAGCAAAGCCGCAUCCCCCAGACCCGAGCAGGCCGUUUCCUGUGAAGAGGAAGAAGUCAGCCUUUGCCCAACCUAAGAUUACCUAAGAUAAUCUAUGGUUAACAAACUAAUGUCUUCCUGAUCCCACUUUACAAGGGAGAUAACUUUGAAAUGAAAGGACCACCUGCAGCCUUUCUCAGUUUUUUAAAUCAAAGAUACAGCCCACAUCUAUGUUAUGGAACAGGCUUCUAGAAUGAAGAAAUAGAGCUAUUUAAGAUCUAAAUAACAAGAUUCUUUUAAAAGGGGGCUGGAGAGAUGGCUUAGGGCACCUAGACAUUCACCUCACAUCCUUCCUAAGCCAUAGUUCCAGGUGAUCUGAUGCCCUCUUCUGGCCUUGCUGGACAUUGCAUACACAUUAUUCAUAUAUACAUGCAGGCAAAUACCAAUACACAUAAAAUGAGGAUAAUUUUAUUUAUUUUUUUUAUUAUACAUAAGUAUACUAUAGCUGACUUCAGACACAUCAAAAGAGGGCAUCAGAUCACCUGAUGUAUCUAGUGUUAAAGCACUCUUUACGGGUGGUUGUGAGCCACCAUGUGGUUGCUGGGAUUUGAACUCAGGACCUUUGGAAGAGCAGUCAGUGCUCUUACCUGCUGAGUCAUCUUACCAACCCGAGGAUAAUUUUUAAAAACAAUUGUUUGAACCAUCCAGGUGCAGUAGUGCUUGCCAGUACACAUAGCUAUUGGGGAGGCUGAGGCAGGAGGAUUACUUAAGCCUAUGAGUUCAAGGCUAACCUGAAUUUAUGAGCACCCGUCAAAAAAAUUUUUUAAUGUGUUGUUAUUUUGUUCUCUGGCAGACUUCAGGUGUUCUAGCAGGCUUCACCUGAGGCUCACUUUAAAAAUCCUGCUCACCUGUUGUGUUGGCUCAAUUUGUAGGUCAGGCACCGAACCUGCAGAGUACAGGAACCCUUUUCCUCCUUGAAGCCCUGAAAGGCACUUUCCUGUCACAGAUGAGGAUAGGUAUAGGCACACAGGGUGGAACAGCAGCCAUUGGGCACCUACCUGCCACUCAGUUAAGGUCUGUUCCUCCUUGGCUUGCAGUGUCUCCGUCUUCAUCAUCUCCUCCCGUAGAUAUUUUAUGUCCUCCUCCAACUUGAGCUGGACACACAAACAGGCCUCCGGUCAGCAGACCCCACCUCUGCCCACAUCUGGAGUGCAGUCUCUGCAGCUGUACUGACGACCCCAGAGAUCCUCCUACAGACAGGGUGGUCUAGCUUCCCAUUCCAGCGGCCAGGAAAUGAGCCUCUCUUGACCUGGGCUUUGGAGGUUAGCUCCUGGUGAUGUAUGUACACUGUGUUGGUAAACUGUCUAUGCGGCUUGAGCUCACUGAGAAGCUGGCUCUGGAAGCAGGGUUAGCCCCACCCCCACCCACUCACAUCUAUUUUACACCCAGGCAUGUUUGUCGAAAGUGCCCUUGAAAGCCCCUUGUCCUGAGAUUGGCUUCUCCCCUAACUCUGAUGUAACAGGUCGGAGUAAAAAACAAACAGCAAAAUAGCCCAAGAGUAAAAAUGUUGUGUGCUUAGAAACAACUAUAAGACAAGCCACUCCCGGGGCUGGUGAGAUAGCUCAGUGGGUUGAGAGCACCAACUGCUCUUCCAAAGGUCCUGAGUUCAGAUCCCAGCAACCACGUGGUGGCUCACAACCAUCCAUAACGAGAUCUCUCUUUUCUGGAGUGUCUGAAGACAGCUACAGUGUACUUACAUAUAAUAAAUAAAUAAAUAAAUUUUAAAAAAGACAAGCCACUCCCAACAGAGGUAACUAUUGUUUAUCCUGUGAUGUAAAAAUGUAUCUAGUGUUAAAGAGAAGCCAGAAUUUCAGUCAUCAGAAGCACAUUGAGAGAGAGAGAGAGAGAGAGCUCAGUUAGCCAAGCCAAGCCAAACCAAACCAAAAAGCCUCUGCAGCUGACUGCCUCAACUUGCCUAGUCAAUUCUGCUGACCCUUAUUCGAUGAUGUUGCCUUUUCUCUCUUGAUCAGGCUCCUCCCUCAAUUGUUUCUGCUGGACUUCGUAAACUCAUUUGAUUACACUUUGCCAUCUAUGUACUGACUAUCUGCUACUCACUAUGUGUUCUUACCUUUGCCUGCCACUCGUUAGUUAAUAAACGUGGCUACUGUAGACCAUCCCUG